rnacentral:rRNA from 1 species
GUUAGUUUUUAAGAGCGUUCGGUGGAUGCCUUGGUAUCAGGGGCCGAUGAAGGACGUGGUGGACUGCGAUAAGCCUCGGGGAGCUGUCUGACAGGCUUUGAUCCGAGGGUUUCCGAAUAGGGGAACCUAGCAAGAGUAAUGUCUUGUUACCUGCGCCUGAAUGUAUAGGGCGUGUGGGGGUGUACGCGGGGAAGUGAAACAUCUUAGUACCCGCAGGAAAAGAUAUUCCGUUAGUAGUGGCGAGCGAAAGCGGAUUAGGUGAAACCGUGUUAGUGUGAUAGACGCCAGUUGUUGCUGAUGCGGGGUUGUGGGGCGUGUUUGUUACAUUCUCUGGCGGGGGUGUGCGUAGUUAUAAAUGUUUGGUGUAGUUGAAUAGUCUGGGAAGGCUAAGCGUAGACGGUGAUACUCCGGUAGGCGAAACAUCAGGCACUGCGUUGGAUGCGUUCCCAAGUAGCACGGGGCUCGUGGAAUCUUGUGUGAAUUUGCUAAGACCACUUAGCUGCCUAAAUACUUCCUGGUAACCGAUAGCGGAUAAGUACCGUGAGGGAAUGGUGAAAAGUACCCCGGGAGGGGAGUGAAAUAGUACCUGAAACCGGGCGCUUACAAGCCGUCAAAGCCUUUUGGGGUGAUGGCGUGCCUAUUGAAGAAUGAGCCUGCGAGUUAGUGGCGUGUCGCGAGGUUAACCCGUGUGGGGGAUCCGUAGCGAAAGCGAGUCUGAAAGGGCGUUUAGUGGCACGUUCUAGACCCGAAGCGGGGUGAUCUACCCAUGGCCAGGUUGAAGCACGUGUAAGAGCGUGUGGAGGACCGAACCCACUUCAGUUGAAAAUGGAGGGGAUGAGCUGUGGGUAGGGGUGAAAGGCCAAUCAAACUCCGUGAUAGCUGGUUCUCCCCGAAAUGCAUUUAGGUGCAGCGUUGCGUGGUUCCGGGCGGGGGUAGAGCUACUGGAUGGCUGAUGGGCCUUACAGGGUUACUGACGUCAACCAAACUCCGAAUACCGUCCGGGUAUAGCGUGGCAGUGAGACAGCGGGGGAUAAGCUCCGUUGUCGAGAGGGAAACAGCCCAGAUCGCCGGCUAAGGCCCCUAAGCGUGUGCUAAGUGGGAAAGGAUGUGCGGUCGCGUUGACAACCAGGAGGUUGGCUUAGAAGCAGCCAUCCUUGAAAGAGUGCGUAAUAGCUCACUGGUCAAGUGAUCGUGCGCCGACAAUGUAGCGGGGCUCAAGACUGGGUGAAGCGGCCGAGUAAUUGUGUCGUGGACGGUACGCAAGUGAGAAUGCAGGCAUGAGUAGCGAUACUAGGGUGAGAAACCCUAGCGCCGAAUGACCAAGGGUUCCAGGGCUAGGCUAGUCCGCCCUGGGUGAGUCGGGUCCUAAGGCGAGGCCGACAGGCGUAGUCGAUGGAUAACCGGUUGAUAUUCCGGUACCGGCUGGUGACCGUCAAGUGUUGACUGAAAGGUACUAACCCACGCUGAAAACAUGGCUAGGCGCCUUUUGGGUGUUUGGUUGUGGUUUUGGUUUGGGGACAGGCUUUCUUGGUAGGCAAGCGUGUGGAGUGACGCACAGUGGAAGCCUUCGCGAGGUGAUGGUUUACCUCGUUUAACCGUGUAGCUUACUGCUCAGGUAAAUCCGGGUGGUUUUAUGUGAGGCGGGAUGAUGACCACUUUGGGUGGGAAGUAGGGGUGAUCCUGUGGUGCCGAGAAAAGCUUCGACGCGAGGUUGUUAGCCGCCCGUACCCUAAACCGACACAGGUGGUCGGGCAGAGUAUGCCUAGGCGCACGAGAUAAUCAUGGUUAAGGAACUCGGCAAAAUGCCCCCGUAACUUCGGGAGAAGGGGGGCCUGAUACUUGAUGAAACCGUUUUUUGGCUUUCUAGGGUUGAGGGUCGCAGAGACCAGGGAGAAGCGACUGUUUACUAAAAACACAGGUGCGUGCGAAGCCGUAAGGCGAUGUAUACGCACUGACGCCUGCCCGGUGCUGGAAGGUUAAGAGGAACCGUCAGUCACGUUUUGUGGUGAAGCGGUGAAUUUAAGCCCCAGUAAACGGCGGUGGUAACUAUAACCAUCCUAAGGUAGCGAAAUUCCUUGUCGGGUAAGUUCCGACCUGCACGAAUUGGUCACGCUAGUGAUUGUGGAGUCGUUGUUGAAAUACCACUCUGGUUAUAGCGUGUGCCUGAACCUUGGCCCGUGAUCCGGGUUAGGGACAGUGCCUGGUGGGUAGUUUAACUGGGGCGGUUGCCUCCUAAAUUGUAACGGAGGCGCUCAAAGGUUCCCUCAUCCUGGUCGGUAACCAGGUGUUGAGUGUAAGUGCACAAGGGAGCUUGACUGCGAGACUGACAGGUCGAGCAGGUACGAAAGUAGGAACUAGUGAUCCGGCGAUCCCGUGUGGGUGGGUCGUCGCUCAACGGAUAAAAGGUACCCCGGGGAUAACAGGCUGA